AUUGUCAUAAUUUCUAGUCACUGUUCAGAGCCACUGAUUAAUAUCUUUAUUGACACACGUUUGGAAAAAACCCUCAAAAGCCACAGCAGGACUGCUAUAGGCCAAAUGUCUGCGCACCCUCAAAUUCACAUGUUGAAACCUAACCCCCGAUAUGAUUGUAUUUGGAGGGAGGGUCUGUGGGAGGUGAAUGGGUCAUGAGGGUGGGGCCCUCCUGUAUGAGAUUGGUGUCUUUGUAAGAAGAGCUCACUUGUCCUUCUUCUGCCAGGUGAGGGCAGCGAGAGAGAGAGAACCCCAUCUCUGAAGCAGGAAGUGGGCCCUCACCAGACACUGACUACGUGCACACCUCCAUCUUGGACUUCCCAGCCUCCAGAACUGUGAGAAAUAAAUCUAUAAACCACUCAGUCAGUGGCAUUUUUGUUUUAGAAGCGCAAGCCGACCAAGCAAGGACCUUUACAUAUUCUUUGGCUUACCCAGGACCCCAGGAGGGGAUGGAAGUGCACCAUCCUCCGGGUGCACAGAUGCCUUCACCAACCUGGAAGCCGGCAGGUGGGGAGCUGAAAAAUCCAACCCUCUAAAUCACACAGUUGCUUACUGGGGCAGCCAGCCCCCAGCCUGAGACCCAGCGAGAGUCACCCCAUUAGCAUCAACUCUGCUCGAUAAUUGGAAAUCCUCCACCCUCACCUGUAUCUGAUGCUCUGGACGUUGGACAAUGGUUUGCAGGACAGAGGACCAAUGUCAAGCCAGAACUGACUAACCUGAGGGGACCAUAUAAGAUAGCAGAGCCAAGCAUUACCACUAGAAUACUUCAAUGUAAUAAGCAGCCGAGUGUGUGAGUGAAAAAUAUUGCCCACUGUAUCAGUAAAUAAAGGAUGUUGCAGCCAUCAAGCCACCACACUGCAAUGUUUCCAUUUCCCCCAAACAGUGAGCCCUGAGGGAACUCAGGAUAGAAACCAGAUGCCCCGCCAUCUAGCAGUCAGCCUCUGCAGCCUCCCCCAGCGGUGCCGCCUGAGGGGACUCAGGAUGGGAAGGCACAGGACACUGGCCCUGGAGAGCCAAGGUACAGAUCACAGGAGUGAUUUCAAUGAGCCCAGACCUCUGCGUCUUCCCGUAGGUAGAAAAUCAUUAAACUCCUUAACUUGCAAAUAUCUGGUUUUCUUUAAUUAAUAGUAAUCUUUUGACGUUCCGACUACCUGGUCUUUGUUGCAAAAACUCUUAUACAUCCUGGCUUCUCCUCUGCCUCUUUGGAACAGUAACUCAGAGGAAUCUGAGAGGCCGCACCUCCCAGACUUGAAGUCCCCAGAAAAGUCCGCCGAAUCCACUGAGUAAAACGUAAUUAUCAACUUUUAGGCUGUGCUUUUUUUUUUUUUUAAUCAGUGGACAAGUGAUUGAAGUUCGUUCUGUUCCAGCACGAUUUAUAUAAUGCAGUCAGGUCUGGUGAAAAUGUAACAGGAGCCACAAAUGCAAGCCACAUGUGUAAUUUAAAAUUUUCUAGUGGCCACGUUUUAAACAACCGAAAAGAAACAGAUGAAAUUAAAUGUGAUGAAUUGUAUUUAGUUCAGUUCAGGCAGACCUCAUUUUAACGCUGUGUUAGUUUUCGUUGCGUGGAUAGUAACAGGCUAGUCUAGAUACGCUGAGAUCACAUUUGGAGCUAAUCCUAGCAUUGUCCACAUUGAAGCUACCAAUGUGCAAUUAAUAAAAAAAAAAA